AUUGGUGCUCGGGAAGAGGAGGCUGGUUCCUCCGGGUGAGCUGGGUGCUAUGAGAGAUUAGACUUUUAUGCAAGAAAAUCAGUCCUGCACAUUUGAUGUACUGAUUUAAAACUUAAAGACCUCUUGGGACCUGACAUUGUAAGCAGGAGGAAGUUUGCAGACCAGGGAUUGAACCCGAGACAUAGCAGUGACAAUGUGGAGUCCUUAACUGGUAUCUCUCCUCUACAGGGCUAAGAGGAGUCCCAGGCUUGAUAACACGCUGAACAAAGACCUGUCAUGGAACAGACUCUUGCUGAGAUUUAAACUGGAGAGUUUGUGGAUGUGGAGCUGGGCCAGGAUACACAGAGAAAUGUGGGGGAAGAGGGAAGUCACUGAGAAGAAUCAAGAGAUCUUGGUGCUGCUCUCAUUUGCUGUGUGAUGCUGAUCAAGCAACAUAUUGUCUUUAGGAAUCCUGUUAUAAAAUUUGUCCAACAGAACCUACCUCGCAGAAUUACAGAGAAGAAAAAGAAGAGAGUUCUAUAAACCUGAAGAGCGAUCUUUUCAAAAAAUCAUCAGAAGGAAGGAAUUUGUAGAAAUAAAACUGGAAACAUCCAGAAUCUUGAUGGUGUGCCAAACCAAAUGUCAACUGGAGCUCGACCAAAAACUAAAGUGCUCUCCAACAAACGAAGCAAAGAGAGAGCAGCCCUCUUUUUCUUUAAUCUGCGGGCGAACACUUUUAGAUCCUUGUUCAGAAACUCAAGAUCUCGGCUUCAGUUCAAAUUAUCACCAGCAUUAGGUCUCUGGGAUACAGACAACUGCUGUUCUAUUUCUCGGGGAGAUUCAUAAGGAGACUUUUACCCUGGAUCACCAGGCAAAGUGAGCAGCUGGAACUGCCUCAUAAACAUGUCUUUGGGAGUGUGCUGGACCCACCAGCUGUACCAAAAUCACCAAACAGAAACUUCCGAAAUGUUUGUAGCAUCGAGCAUGGACAACUUUGUCCAUAUCCACUUUUAUAUUUGAUAGUUUAACAGUAUAUAACCAUCAACCACCUGACACCUAAGUGAAAAAUAAGCAUAGCUCUCUUUAAAAAUCAUAUGAAAGUGUCCUAAUUAUAAAUUGUGCCAUAAGUAGAACCCUCUUUGCUUCAUCCCUCUUGUUGAAAUUCAAACCAGAGCUCAAGGAGUUGAUCUUGCAUUUACGUCAGCGGCAAAGACUAUGCUUCACUGUUUGCUCCAGAAAUGACCAAAUGAGGGAUUUACACAAAUAAGCAUCAUGUGAAGGUUUUAAUUAGAAUGUGACAGAUUUAUUUUCUUUUUAUCGUAAGCAAAUCCAACUUGUUAUAGUUAAAGGAUAUUUUCCAUCAUAUGAAAGCUACCAUCAAGAGAGCAAAUAAGAAACAACUGCUGUUAACUCCUGGCAGAAUUGACAAGUACUUUUUUCACAAAUCUCCCAUGAGGAAAUUCUGCUUUGAUGGCUCUGAUCCAGUGUAAAAGUAUCAGAUUGGAUGUGGAGCUUAUCUGCAGGUAUUCAGGUAUCAUGCAGUGGGGGUUCAGUCUACCAGAGACUCAAUUUUUAGCUGCUUAUCUACUCUGCCAGCUAGUGUUUCAUCUUGACAGAAAAAGAAAUGAAUAGGCAAGCAGGCCAGCAGAAACUAGAAAAGAGUCAAAUCAAUUUUCACAUAAAUAUUUAUGGAAAACACUCUGGGAGUAGGAAAUAUCGGUGAAGGAUGUCUGAGAACAAUUUUUCUGCACAUGUAAAUCAGACGAGAAUUUUUGAAGCCUAAUUCAAAUUUCCAUGCAAAUGUAAAACAGUCCAUAAGGUUGGGUUUUUCAAUCACAACUUUCCUCUCUCUCUCUCUCUUUAAAAUCUCGUAUUUCAAAUUAAGUUAUUUUCACAAUUUAAAUUUUUCAUGGUCAUUCCUUCCCGUUGUUUGUAAAAUGUGACGUUAGCUCCCUCAUUUUUGGCUUCUCAUCGUUGCUUCUUGACUGGAGUGUUUAAGAGCUUCUCUCUCUAUGUUUGACCAAAGAUGUAAUAAGAAGGUCAGACAGAAGAAGCUCCUCGAUAUUUAGGGAUGUAAAGUGUAACCUGACGUAGAAAAAGGAUGUACUAUGACCCACUCUCAUUGUUUGCCCUUGUAAGGUGAUUCCUGAGGAUUCUUGUGUGUUAUAAUGGCCUCUGACCCACAUUUUCCUCUGGCUUCAGUCCCUGGAGAGGGAUAAGUAGGGAACCCGACAGCAGUCUCGAGCAGAAAAGCCGAGGCCCAGUGAGGUGGUCCAUAGGCCAGUCGAUGUUGUUACCUUAACUACUAGAUUAAGAGAAGAUGACACUCAGUGAUUCUCUCUUUAAAAGAGUUUAAAUUGUCUGCCAGGACCAAUAUAUUUCAGCUUAAUGGUAUAAAAAACAUCAUUUGUAUGGUAGCAGCAGAGUAAAUUCUCUGAGUUGAUGCCUAGCAUACUGUGACCUUUGUGAGAUAAAAAGUCAAAAUAGAAAUGAUUGGUACGUAUGACUUCCCUAAUGGAAUAAAAAUUAAUUCAUUUUGCCAAGGGGAAGAGGGAGGGAGUGGGGUGGAUUGGGAGCUUGGGGUUAAUAGAUGCAAACUAUUGCCUUUGGAAUGGAUUAGCAAUGAGAUCCUGCUGUGUAGCCCUGGAAACUAUAUCUAGUCACUUAUGAUGGAGCAUGAUAAUGUGAGAAAAUAGAAUGUGUACAUGUAUGUGUAACUGCGUCACCAUGCUGUACAGUAGGAAGAAAAAGUUGUUUUGGGAAAUAAUUAAAAAAAAAGAUUGUAGUUACUGGUUAAAUGAUAAAUAAAUAAAUAAAUAUAAGAAAAAUUAAAAA
rnacentral:lncRNA from 1 species